rnacentral:rRNA from 1 species
GUUAGGAAUAUUGGACAAUGGGCGAAAGCCUGAUCCAGCCAUGCCGCGUGAACGAUGAAGGCCUUCGGGUUGUAAAGUUCUUUAGCCGAUGAUUAUAAUGACUGUAGUCGGAAAAUAAGCCCCGGCUAACUUCGUGCCAGCAGCCGCGGUAAUACGAAGGGGGCGAGCGUUAUUCGGAAUCACUGGGCGUAAAGCGUGCGUAGGCGGUUUUGUAAGUUAGGAGUGAAAGCCCAGGGCUCAACCUUGGAAUUGCUCUUAAAACUGCAAGGCUCGAAUCUCGGAGAGGAUAGCGGAAUUUCCAGUGUAGCAGUGAAAUGCGUAGAUAUUGGAAGGAACACCAGUGGCGUAAGCGGCUAUCUGGACGAGUAGUGACGCUGAGGCACGAAAGCGUGGGGAUCAAACAGGAUUAGAAACCCGGGUAGUCC